rnacentral:rRNA from 1 species
CGCGUAGGUGGCUAAUUAAGUCAAAUGUGAAAUCCCCGAGCUUAACUUGGGAAUUGCAUUCGAUACUGGUUAGCUAGAGUAUGGGAGAGGAUGGUAGAAUUCCAGGUGUAGCGGUGAAAUGCGUAGAGAUCUGGAGGAAUACCGAUGGCGAAGGCAAUCCCCUGGGCCUGCACUGACGCUCAUGCACGAAAGCGUGGGGAGCAAACAGGAUUAGAUACCCUAGUA